AGGGAUGUAGCUCAGCGAUAGAGCACUUGCCUAGCAUGCAUGAGGCCCUAGGUUCAAUCCCUAGUACUACCA
rnacentral:tRNA from 1 species